rnacentral:lncRNA from 1 species
CUGUCUCUGCUGCUGGCGCUGCCUCUGGCCCUGUCCCUGUGCUACCUGGAGCCGAAAGCACUCGCGCGCUUCAGGUCAGCAGAGGUCACGGCUGAGGCGAGCUCUCCAGAGGAAAUGCAGUGUGACCCCGCCGCCUAAAAUGACCCCUGACCUCCCCGUUCCUGUCUCCAUGUCUGCCUGCCUCCUAAACACUACUGUGUGCAUUUUGUUGCUGUUUGCCUUUCACUUUAGCUCUUCCCUUCCAAUGCCAGAUUUUCAGUGUGAAAUGCAGAUUAGUCGCUGCGAUCUGAUUCUAGCUGUUUAAAUCGGCAACAUUCCAGUGGGACCCUAUUCAUAGUCCACAUCCUGACUGAAAAAAACUCUUUCCCCGCACUUCAGCUGAAGCGUUUAUUAUAUCAGACCUGAACCCGAAUUACUCGACCAGCUUUAAUCUUACACUAAACAGCAGAUUUAUACGCAUUUUGGAUAGAUUUCCCUCUUGAGCUUAUUAUAGUCCUUCAAGUAUUUUAUAAGAGUCUCAAACAGAAAAGCAUGAUCUCACUCAGACCAGCCUGUCCCAGAGCUCAGGGCUCGCUCCAUAUCACUUUGAUUGGGGAUUCAGGCCUUCCCAUCAUCCAUUUCACCUUUUCAGACUAUCUUGUCCAUUAUUCCACCAAUCAGAGUCCACAGGUGGAGGUCAUGGAGAAGCCAAACGCAGAUGCAGCCACAUCCAUCAGCUCUGAAACGGCCUUUGAGACGGAUGGCGCUGGCGCUCCUGAGAGAAAGGUCUUUCACUUUUGUUUGAGAUGCAAAUUGUUGUCUUUUUUAAUUUCAUGUUUUUGUCCAAUUGAAUGUUGAUGGGGUUCUUGCAUCAUGGUUGUUUGAUGAUGUGAAAUCUUUGCUUUCAUUGCUGUGGUGACGGUUGAUUGUUUUUAUUUGCUUUUGUGCUGGUUAUCCUGUGCUUUUUAACUGCAAAUGAGGCACAAAUCACGUGAGCUCUCUUGAGUAAUCAACUGCCUCCAGAUUUGAUGAUUGAUUGGCUAAGCAGUGCUAGAUUGAUGACUUGUGAUCAAAUGCUGAUUUGCCUGUUGGUUGGUUACUUCCAAGAACCCUGAUACAGAUCCGGAAAUCAGUAGUGUCAUAUAUGAACCGAACUGGAUCAGCCUAACGUCACAUCAGAAAGUCUGAGAGCACAUUAAGAAUAUGAGAUUCGAGAUUAAUUUAAAGCUGGAAGUUGCAACAUUUCACUCAAAUUGAUAUGCUGAUAAUAUAAUUUGCAAUGAAAAUAGUUUUAAAGGAUAAAAAUGCACAUUAGAAGCAUUUUCACCAUUGCUCUCAGACUUUUGGAGGCCUCUGUACAUGUGCUAUAAUCAUUUUCCAUUACGACAC